rnacentral:rRNA from 1 species
GUGGGGAAUAUUGGACAAUGGGCGAAAGCCUGAUCCAGCCAUGCCGCGUGUGUGAAGAAGGUCUUCGGAUUGUAAAGCACUUUAAGUUGGGAGGAAGGAUAGUAACCUAAUACGUUGCUACUUUGACGUUACCGACAGAAUAAGCACCGGCUAACUUCGUGCCAGCAGCCGCGGUAAUACGAAGGGUGCAAGCGUUAAUCGGAAUUACUGGGCGUAAAGCGCGCGUAGGUGGUUCAGUAAGUUGGAAGUGAAAUCCCCGGGCUCAACCUGGGAACUGCUUUCAAAACAGCUGAGCUAGAGUACGGUAGAGGGUGGUGGAAUUUCCUGUGUAGCGGUUAAAUGCGUAGAUAUAGGAAGGAACACCAGUGGCGAAGGCGACCACCUGGACUGAUACUGACACUGAGGUGCGAAAGCGUGGGGAGCAAACAGGAUUAGAAACCCUGGUAGUCC